rnacentral:misc_RNA from 1 species
UCUCCGUAGGUGAACCUGCGGAGGGAUCAUUACAGAGUUCUCGCCCUCGCGGGUAGAUCUCCCACCCACUGUUAUCGUUACUGUGUUGCUUUGGCGGGCCGCCGGGCCCCGCUCGGCCGCCGGCUCCGGCUGGCGCGCGCCCGCCAGAGGCCCAGCAAACUCUGAAUGUUAGUGUCGUCUGAGUACUAUAUAAUAGUUAAAACUUUCAACAACGGAUCUCUUGGUUCAG